GAUGAAGAACGCAGCGAAAUGCGAUACUUGGUGUGAAUUGCAGAAUCCAGUGAACCAUCGAGUCUUUGAACGCAAGUUGCGCCCGAAGCCAUUAGGCCGAGGGCACGCCUGCCUGGGCGUCACACGUCGUUGCCCCCCCAUCUACUCCUUCGGGAUUGCGGGGGGCGGAUGAUGGCCUCCCGUGCGCCUCGUCGCGCGGUUGGCAUAAAUGCCAAGUCCUCGGCGACGCACGCCACGACAAUCGGUGGUUGCGAAACCUCGGUUGCCCGUCGUGUGCGGUCGUCGCGCAUCGAGGGCUCGAAAAAAUUGUCGGGCUCCGGCUCGGCUUUCAACGCGACCCCAGGUCAGGCGGGGUUACCCGCUGAAUUUAAGCAUAUCAAUAAGCGGAGGA
rnacentral:misc_RNA from 1 species